rnacentral:lncRNA from 1 species
CAGUUGAUUUUUAUUAUUCAUGGUAAUUAUGUUUUAUGAAAUCACCACUAGCUGAAUUAGCGGGUGCUGAACCACUGCUCCCAGAGGAAAUACAGGGUUUGGUUCCUGCAAGCCUCUGCUCACAUUUUCAUCAGCAGAUUGAUACAGCACCUUGUUUUAUAUGUGUUUCUAUUUAGAAAGACCUUAUUUAAUAUAUAUUGUUGAUUCACUACCGUGGAACUCACGGCCCACAGCACUAUGCCUCACCACUGAAUGAACCUUAUCUUAGCACACUAUUUUCUCCGGAUGGUGCCUCACAGCCUUCUUGCAUUUAGGAACACCAGACAGCACUUCAGCACUACACUUGGGGGCCAUUUUAAACAGCAAAGUCACCAACAAAAAACUCAAAAAUGUGAAAAACAUGGCACAAAAAGGACAUUUGUUUAUGGUACCAGAGCUGAAACAACCAAGAGUGUUGCUUUGUCUCACCUCACCUGGCAACAUGGACGUUGGGCAACUCAAACUUUUUGUUACUCUGCACAUGCACAUGUUCAUAAAUGACCACAAAAGCACCACAAGUAUUGGUUUUGGAGUUACAAAUAAAUUUUAGCAAUUAAAUGAAUUUGCAAACACAGAGUCUACAAAUAACCAGCAGCAACUGUUUAAUAUUUCCCCAAACAAGACCAGAUUGGGAGUUUCCCAUUCUGCAAGAUAGAAAAUUGGCUAAAUGAUUUGAAAACGUGGGUUGAAACUAGGAUUGGAAUCAAGUCUGUUGUAAUGUUGCUUGAGCAAAAACUACUCUUGGUAUUUUUUUAAGUCAACUUUACUAAGGUCUAAAUUUCACACAGUAAAAGGCAAGCAUCUUAAGUGUACAGUUCCAUAAAUUUUGACAAAUGUACACACCCAUGUAACCACCACUACAAGCGAGAUAAAGGAUAUUUCCAUCACCCCAAAAGGUUGCCUUGGGCCACCUCCCAGUCAAUCCACACCCCCCACCCCGGCUGUCACUGAUCUGUUUUCUGUCACUAUAAUUUAGAUCUAUCUUUUCUAGAGUUUCAUAUAAAUGGAAUCAUACAAAAUACACUCUUAUAUCUGGCUUCUUUCACUCAUCAUAUUUUUGAAAUACAUCCACGUGGUUGCAUGUAUUGGUAAUUCAUUCCUUCCUAUGUUGAGCAUUUCGAUGUAUGGGUGCGCCCCAAUAUUUAUUAUUGAUGGACAUUUGAGUUGGAUUGUUAACAGUUUGAGGCUGUUAUAAAUAAAGCUGCUACCAAUAUUCAGGAAUAAGUCUUUCUGUGGGUUUGUGUUUUUGUUUCUCAGGUAAAUAUUUGGGAGUAGGAUUAGUGGGUCAUAUG